UACGAAGGGGGCGAGCGUUAUUCGGAAUCACUGGGCGUAAAGCGUGCGUAGGCUGUUGGCAAGUUGGGAAGAUGAAAGCCCAGGGCUCAACCCUGGAAUUGCUUUCAAAACUGCCAGACUCGAAUCUCGGAGAGGAUAGCGGAAUUUCCAGUGUAGUAGUGAAAUACGUAGAUAUUGGAAGGAACACCAGUGGCGCGAAGCGGCUAUCUGGACGAGUAGUUGACGCUGAGGCACGAAAGGCGUGGGGAUCAAACAGG
rnacentral:rRNA from 1 species